UACACUCCUGCGGGAGGCAGCAGUGGGGAAUUUUGGACAAUGGGCGAAAGCCUGAUCCAGCAAUGCCGCGUGAGUGAAGAAGGCCUUCGGGUUGUAAAGCUCUUUUGUCAGGGAAGAAACGGUGAGAGCUAAUAUCUUUUGCUAAUGACGGUACCUGAAGAAUAAGCACCGGCUAACUACGUGCCAGCAGCCGCGGUAAUACGUAGGGUGCAAGCGUUAAUCGGAAUUACUGGGCGUAAAGCGUGCGCAGGCGGUUUUGUAAGUCUGAUGUGAAAUCCCCGGGCUCAACCUGGGAAUUGCAUUGGAGACUGCAAGGCUAGAAUCUGGCAGAGGGGGGUAGAAUUCCACGUGUAGCAGUGAAAUGCGUAGAUAUGUGGAGGAACACCGAUGGCGAAGGCAGCCCCCUGGGUCAAGAUUGACGCUCAUGCACGAAAGCGUGGGGAGCAAACAGGAUUAGAAACCCGGGUAGUCCC
rnacentral:rRNA from 1 species